UGGUGCUACUCCAAGCUGCACGCUCGUGCUGGCCAUCCGAUCAGGAUCGGACGAUCCUGCCGUUGCCCCGAGCGCACCGGAGGCUAUUUUUUUUUUCGGGAGGGGAGUGCACCGGAGUAUGGAAAGCACGAACGGAACGGGAAAUCGCGCUUCCCUCCCGAACGCGGAUCCUAAAACGAAUCUGAACUGUCCGAUCGGGAACGAACGCUUCGGAUCGACUCGUGAGUCGAAACCGACCUCUUUGCCGCUCCCCCUCUUUCCUCGAACCCACCGCCUCCCUCUCGCGGCCUCGCUCCGUCCUCUCCUCGAUCUCGCUCCUGCCCGUCUCGCUACGCCGCCGUCGCGGCCAAUGGACCCCACCGCGCAGCGCGUGCGAUCCGCGGCGUCAACGGCCAAGGCGGAGAGCGCGGCGGGGUUGGUGAGGCGGUGCGCGGCGUCGACGGGAACCUGCCUCACGGUCGGCGGGCGCAGCGGCCCCGCCAUCCCCCGGGGGCGGCGAUUAUUUGCGCCGGCGACAACCUCUUGGCGACAACCUCUUGUUGAAUGAGCUUGCCAGCGCCGUGCCUGCUCGAUGCAGGUUUAGAACCUUGAUCUCUCCCGUGCGGCGCGUCGCCUUCGCCGCUCAUCGGACGGCCGCCGCCGCACCCACUUCGCUGUGCCAAGUGCCAACCAUUGGCUGCAGUCGAGUUGUGCUGCCACCUCAACCACAAUCUCGACUUCACAGUUUCUUUCAAGGCACCAUCCAAAAAGCUUGAAUAGGCUGGAUCACAUUAGGCUUAUUUUGCAAUGUUCACAUUCCACGUGGAGUACUGUCUGCUCGCUGUUUCUUAGUUCCUGGUAAUUUCAAAGCAUCUGUUUAUCAUUGCUUCUUGUUUAGGGUCAACUGGAUGUCAUAAUCUCUCUUUUUGAACGGGUUCAGGUUUAAAACGUAUAUAGGUGAGGGGAUUGAACCUUUACUAUGCAGUGCACAACACAGUUAUAUUGCAUGGGUAUAUCCGGGUCAACUAAUACAAUAUAGGAGCUUGAGAUAAGUUGGGCCGUUGGCAAGUGGUUGUUCAUCGCAUAUGCUUAGUACUUAGUGUUAUUAUAUUUGCUGUGUAGGGCUUAUGAUUUCUAUAUUAUCUACACAUGCAGACCACUUGCCUACUUGGUGCUUUGGACAUGAGUAGUAUCUAUCGUUUUUGUUAGUGUGUUCCGGAGGUGUACUGGUGAAGUCUUUCUGCAGCAGCCAGCAGAUAGUGUAGAGGCAGUAUAGACUCUGGCAUAUGCUGGUUGUAUCUUUGACAGGUUCAGAAAUUAUGUGAACUAAAUAAUGGAAAAUGAUGAAAAAUAUAAGUUCUUAACUAUACCUGCACAUUAAUCAGUGUCAUAUUGUUUAGUGCUCCAUUGGUGUGUGAAUGUCUUGGAAAAUCAAGAUGCCUAGGCAGGGAUGUCAUCAGGAGUCAAGAGGCAGAUUGUAGAGAUAUGUAAGGUCCUAUUGCAUGUAUAGUGUAAUAGC